GCGGGGCUGCGGGGUGCGACUGGAAACAUCAUACUCCCGGGGCCUUACGAUCCUGAAGGGAGCUGUCCCUGGCCGGGUCCGUGGAUUCGGACAUAUGGCGCCCACCUACUUUUGUAGGUUCCCGGGGUCGAAAAUUCCGACGGCCAUCGCGGCUCCGCG
rnacentral:other from 1 species